UGCCAGCCGCCGCGGUAAUACGGAGGGUGCAAGCGUUGUUCGGAAUUAUUGGGCGUAAAGCGCGUGUAGGCGGUUCUGUAUGUCGAUUGUGAAAGCCCAGGGCUUAACCCUGGAAUUGCAGUCGAAACUGCAGAUCUUGAAUACCUGAUAGGGUGGGAGAAUUCCUGGUGGAGCAGUGAAAUGCGUAGAGAUCAGGAGGAAUACCGGAGGCGAAGGCGCCUGCCUGGCAGGAUAUUGACGCUGAGGUGCGAAAGCGUGGGGAGCAAACAGGAUUAGAUA
rnacentral:rRNA from 1 species